UAUUGUAUGUUUUCUAUAUUUCACUCCCUUUUGAUACUGAUCUUUUUCAACGAGCUUCCUGGUUCUUUUAUUUUCAAUGCAUGUGAACUAUUAUAGCUAAUGGUAUGGCGUAUUUCUCGAUUUAACAUACAACAUUAUUCUUUUGAUAAUGAAUGUUUUCGAUAUUAGAGCUUACUACAAAACGCUUGAUAAACUGGAUAUGUGAUUGCGGUAAAGGUCUGGGGGCGUACCGCGCACGCCCGGUCUCCGGACAUGCGCAAUCAAUCUUAGAUUUCUCUUCCCAUAUAUUUUUAUUAUUAAUAGUGUUUAAUGCAGUUAUAUGUUAAAAUCUUUUAAUAGGACGUAACAAUAACUGAAAGUGCAGUAUAAAAUUAACAUUCAUUAAAUUAAGAUAUACAUCACGACCAUUUGUUCAUUGAUUUUGUGUAUCUUGUGAGGUUUUAUAGUGCUAUAACCUAAAAUAUCAUGCUGGUACAGCAUAAAAAUUGUUCCUAUGAUAAAAUAACAAUUAAAUGAGAUGCGCUACAUUAACCUGCAACGAGCGAUGGCCAGAUCACGCAGAGAUAAGAUCUGGCGUUGGCGGUGUCAGUGGUGCUUCAUCAGCGUGAUUGCUGUCGCGCUGGUACUAUACAACGCAGCGGCUAAUAUCUGGCUUCUCCAGCCCUCGUGUGCUCAGCUCGGGCCUACCUCUC